CAGCAGCCACGGUAAUACGAAGGGUGCAAGCGUUAAUCGGAAUUACUGGGCGUAAAGCGUGCGUAGGCGGUAAGUUAAGUCUGCUGUGAAAUCCCCGGGCUCAACCUGGGAAUGGCAGUGGAUACUGGCUCGCUAGAGUGUGUCAGAGGAUGGUGGAAUUCCCGGUGUAGCGGUGAAAUGCGUAGAGAUCGGGAGGAACAUCAGUGGCGAAGGCGGCCAUCUGGGACAACACUGACGCUGAGGCACGAAAGCGUGGGGAGCAAACAGGAUUAGAUACCCCAGUAGUCCCUGUCUCUUAUAC
rnacentral:rRNA from 1 species